GACGAACGCUGGCGGCGUGCUUAACACAUGCAAGUCGAACGGAAAGGCCCUGCUUUUGUGGGGUGCUCGAGUGGCGAACGGGUGAUUAACACGUGAGUAACCUGCCCUUGACUUUGGGAUAACUUCAGGAAACUGGGGCUAAUACCGGAUAGGAGCUCCUGCUGCAUGGUGGGGGUUGGAAAGUUUCGGCGGUUGGGGAUGGACUCGCGGCUUAUCAGCUUGUUGGUGGGGUAGUGGCUUACCAAGGCUUUGACGGGUAGCCGGCCUGAGAGGGUGACCGGCCACAUUGGGACUGAGAUACGGCCCAGACUCCUACGGGAGGCAGCAGUGGGGAAUAUUGCACAAUGGGCGGGAGCCUGAUGCAGCAACGCCGCGUGCGGGAUGACGGCCUUCGGGUUGUAAACCGCUUUCGCCUGUGACGAAGCGUGAGUGACGGUAAUGGGUAAAGAAGCACCGGCUAACUACGUG
rnacentral:rRNA from 1 species